AUGCAGGCGGCAUUCCUGGCAGGCUUCCCAUGCAGCUCCGGCCCCCCUGCCUGUGCCCAGCUUCGCCAUGGCCGGGCGGCGCCGCGGGCUGGAACGGACGGGCUCCUUCUUUGUCAUCCGUGUGCGCGGCGCCCGGCUUCGUCACGCGUGUGGGGGUACGGUCCCCUUAGUCACAUGGGUGUGCCCGUGCAGACGCCCGGCUUUGUCACACAUGUACAUCCCUUUGUCAUGCGUGUGCGUGGUGCCCUCUUUGUCACGGGUGUAUUGCCUGCUCCAUCCUGUAUGUGUGUGUAUCCUCCAUCCUAUGUGUGUGUAUCCUCAAUCCUCCAUGUGUGUGUAUCCUCCAUCCUCCAUGUGUGUGUAUCCUCCAUGUGUGUGUAUCCUCAAUCCUCCGUGUGUGUAUAUCCUUCAUCCUAUAUAUGUGUGUAUAUCCUCCAUCCUCCAUGUGUGUGUAUCCUCCAUCCUAUAUAUGUGUGUAUAUCCUCCAUCCUGUCUGUGCAUCCUCCAUCCUCCAUGUGUGUAUAUCCUCCAUCCUAUGUGUGUGUAUAUCCUCCACCCUAUAUAUGUCUGUGCACCCUCCAUCCUCCAUGUGUAUAUAUCCUCCAUCCUAUGUGUGUAUAUCCUCCAUCCUAUGUGUGUAUAUCCUCCAUCCUAUGUGUGUGUAUCCUCCAUCCUCCAUGUGUGUAUAUCCUCCAUCCUAUGUGUGUGUAUCCUCCAUCCUCCAUGUGUGUAUAUCCUCCAUCCUAUAUGAGUGUGUAUCCUCCACCCUAUGUGUGUGUGUGUAUCCUCCACACUAUAUAUGUGCGUAUCCUCCAUCCUACAUAUAUUUCUGUAUGUCCUCCACCCUGUAUGUGCGUGUGACCCCGUGAUCCCAGCAAAGUGCAUGUCAAAAACCCAAACCCAAGCCUUCUGGGACACCACAGAUGUAGAGAUCAGCAUUCCUGCCGGGGGAAUCGUAGGGAUCCACAAAUGGCAAACCACAGAAAUCCCCGUGUUCAUUCUUAGGCGUGGAUGUAAUCCCUAAGAAAACAGGGAUUCGCUUCUUUUUGUGCUGGAGAAUCUAAAAAUCAGACUGGCUCCUGGUGCUGCUUUCCUGCUGAAAAUUUGGGAUUGUGGGGUUAACGUGCUGUUCCGUCGCCUGUACAUUUAAAUGCGUUCAACCUAUUUGAUAAAUAACUGCUCCCAAGCUUUGGUGAUAUUAAAUCCAGCUAAAUAAGAUUCCCCAUGGAAUAUCAAGGCUCUAAUUGAAUCUCAGGGGUUCUGGGCCCGUUCGCCAAACAGCCUUUGAGUUGUUUUUGUUCCUGACGUCAGCCCAAGGCUUGAUUGAAUUAUGGCCUUGGACUGCGGGAGCACCUGCCAGGGCCACUGCGCUGAAGAGUCCGGCAGCGUUUCCAGGCCAAAGCUCGGCGGGAAGUUUGUGGCUGGAAUACAAACUUCAGCCAGGGAGCAGAACUGGCAAACCCAAAUCGAUUCCCUCCGCUCUCCUCUUCCCUCACCGCUGCUCCCACGCCGCUCCUUGGGUGCUCCCCUUUCUCGGGGCGACCGCGGGAUGCGGCGGAGGGGAGCUGAAAUAUUGGCACCUCAUGAAAUGGCACACAACGGAUUGUUUGUUUGGGAUCUCGGGAACAAAGACGGGCAGGGAAGAGGCUGGGGCACCGUCAGGCGCUGCAAUUCCGGUGGCACCGGGCACGGCCUCGCUUUCCUCGUGUUUUUAAGGGACAAGUGACAGCGGGUGUUUUGGGAGAGAAGCAGGGAUGAGGCUGGGGCACCGUCAGGCGCUGCAAUGCCAGUGGCACCGGGCACGGCCUCGCUUUCCUCGUGUUUUUAAGGGACAAGUGACAGUGGGUGUUUUGGGAGAGGG
ensembl:lncRNA